rnacentral:rRNA from 1 species
GACGAACGCUGGCGGCGUGCUUAACACAUGCAAGUCGAACGAUGAAGCUAGAGCUUGCUCUGGUGAAUUAGUGGCGAACGGGUGAGUAACACGUGAGUAACCUGCCCCGAACUCUGGGAUAACUGCUGGAAACGGUAGCUAAUACUGGAUACGACCUACGAAGGCAUCUUCUGUAGGUGGAAAGAAUUUCGGUUCGGGAUGGACUCGCGGCCUAUCAGCUUGUUGGUGAGGUAAUGGCUCACCAAGGCGACGACGGGUAGCCGGCCUGAGAGGUGACCGGCCACACUGGGACUGAGACACGGCCCAGACUCCUACGGGAGGCAGCAGUGGGGAAUAUUGCACAAUGGGCGCAAGCCUGAUGCAGCAACGCCGCGUGAGGGAUGACGGCC